rnacentral:lncRNA from 1 species
UCUACAUAAGUGAUGACUGAGAAAGCAGGUCUCAAGGUGACAAUAAAAGACAUCUGAGGUUGGACUGUGACUUGUCCUUGUGUCAGUCAACACAGCAAAGUCUAGUGUUCUUCAGCUUGCAAACUCAUCUGUUACUGAUAGACCAAAGCAAAUUAUAAAUCAGCCCUGCAGUCUGUCUCUUCAUGUAAUCCUGCCAGCGCGACUCUGAGUACAGCCAAGGAUGAAGAAUGCAAGAGGCUUACUGAUUUCACUGACAUAGCACGUGCUUGAAGUUAGCAUAAGUUGGAGCACUACUGGAAAAGAAGAUAUAACAUUGCACCAGGAAUGAGUUUUAACAAAGAAAGGCUACUUUUAUGGGUGUACGAUUAUAUAAAUAAUUGAUGAGCUAAAGGAAAGAGAUGCAAUAACAUUGAAGAAAGGACAGAAAAAAAAAUGUGCUAAUACUAAAGUCAAGAGGAUAAAGGAAGGUAAGAAAGUGAGAUGAAGUGAGAAAGAGGAAAAAUAAAAAUAGGUAAGUUAAGCA